GAGGGAUUACGCCGGUACGGAGGCUUGUAAAAUCAUAUAGUUACAGAUCUUGCAUAUUCCCGAAAAGAAUCAUAACUAUAUGAUUUAAAAGAAAAUAAGUCGGGAUUUAAAAUCCCUCGACGUUCGCGUCGUGCCGGUUCGAUUCCGGCCUCGGGCACCA
rnacentral:tRNA from 1 species